UGGUCAAGUUAUUAAGGGUGCAGGGCGGAUGCCUUGGCACUAGGAGCCGAUGAAGGACGUGAUAAGCUGCGAUAAGCUUCGGGGAGUUGCACGUAAACUUUGAUCCGAAGAUUUCCGAAUGAGGAAACUCACUUAGAGUAAUGUCUAAGUAUCAUUAAGUGAAUACAUAGCUUAAUGAGGGGAACUCAGGGAACUGAAACAUCUAAGUACCUGAAGGAAGAGAAAGAAAUUCGAUUCCGUAAGUAGCGGCGAGCGAACGCGGAUUAGCCCAAACCAAUAAAGUUUUCUUUAUUGGGGUUGCGGACAUAUCAUAACGAAGAGGUAUCGUAAUUGAAGAGGUUUGGAAGGGCCCACCACAGAAGGUAACGGACAUGUAUGUUAAACGAGAGGGCAUUAGAUAUGAUCCAGAGUACCACGGGACGCAUGAGACCCUGUGGGACGCAGGAGUGACCACACUACAAGGCUAAAUACUACCUAUGGAACGAUAUCGUAUAGUGCCGUGAGGGAAAGGUGAAAAGAACCCCGGGAGGGGAG
rnacentral:rRNA from 1 species